rnacentral:rRNA from 1 species
GACGGAGGCUGCAAGCGUUAUCCGGAAUGAUUGGGCGUAAAGCGUCUGCAGGUGGCAGUUCAAGUCUGCUGUCAAAGACCGGGGCUUAACUUCGGAAAGGCAGUGGAAACUGAACAGCUAGAGUAUGGUAGGGGCAGAGGGAAUUCCUGGUGUAGCGGUGAAAUGCGCAGAUAUCAGGAGGAACACCGGUGGCGAAGGCGGUUCUCUGGGCAUUACCUGACGCUGAGGAGCGAAAGCGUGGGGAGCGAACAGG